rnacentral:rRNA from 1 species
UGGGGAAUAUUGGACAAUGGGCGCAAGCCUGAUCCAGCAAUGCCGCGUGUGUGAAGAAGGCCUGCGGGUUGUAAAGCACUUUCAGUGGGGAGGAAGGCCUCGGCGUUAAUAUCGUCGAGGAUUGACGUUACCUACAGAAGAAGCACCGGCUAACUCUGUGCCAGCAGCCGCGGUAAUACAGAGGGUGCAAGCGUUAAUCGGAAUUACUGGGCGUAAAUGGCGCGUAGGUGGUUAAUUAAGUCAGAUGUGAAAUCCCCGGGCUUAACCUGGGAAUUGCAUUUGAAACUGAUUGGCUAGAGUACGGGAGAGGGGAGUGGAAUUUCCGGUGUAGCGGUGAAAUGCGUAGAUAUCGGAAGGAACACCAGUGGCGAAGGCGACUUCCUGGCCCGUUACUGACACUGAGGCGCGAAAGCGUGGGGAGCGAACA